CCUACGGGAGGCAGCAGUGAGGAAUAUUGGUCAAUGGGCGGGAGCCUGAACCAGCCAAGUCGCGUGAGGGAAGACGGUCCUAUGGAUUGUAAACCUCUUUUGUCUGGGAGCAAUACAGGCCACGCGUGCCCGGCCGGAGAGUCCCCGCAGAAUAGGCCUCGGCUAACACCGUCCCGGCAGCCGCGGUAAUACGGAGGAUGCGAGCGUUAUCGGGUUUUAUUGGGUUUAAGGGGUGCGUAGGCGGAUGUUUAGUCCAGCGGUAAAAUGUCCGGGCUCAAACCGGGCGGGCCGUUGAAACUGGGGAUCUGGAGUGGGCGAGAAGUAUGCGGAAUGCGUGGUGUAGCGGUGAAAUGCAUAGAUAUCACGCAGAACUCCGAUUGCGAAGGCAGCAUACCGGCGCCCGACUGACGCUGAUGCACGAAAGCGUGGGUAUCGAACAGGAUUAGAUACCCGAGUAGUC
rnacentral:rRNA from 1 species